UCCAGGCACUGGUGAUGACCUGGGAACACUGCUCCCAGUCAAACCUGACAUCUACUUAUCUUCAACGCAUUGACAGUUGGCAAAUGCCAUUUCAACAUAAAAUGCAGAACAAAGACCACAUGCUCCUAUGGGUUUGACUAACAUUUACUGCAAUGGGGUCCUGAUCUUCACUGCACCAACUGGGCAUGACUACAAAGAAGCAAGUAGUAAUAAUAGCCCCAAAGCCCAUUGAAGUGCACAGUGAAAGAGCAGCUGGAGGCCCUCUCAGGUUGCACUUGUCCUCUGAUACCCCGGCCAUCCGGUCCCUGCACAUUUAGAUCAGAGGGGGGCUCUUAUAUCAAACCCAAAUUUGCAUGUUGCAUGCUCAAGUGACAUUUCCUGUGCUGCUUAGAGCUGGUUUAAAACCUCCUGCAUCACUCGUUGCAGCCUGCUGAGCAGCUGUGGGCCAGUCAGAUGUACCAAGAUGGUUUCACAGGCUCCACUCCUCUGCCUGUUACUGCUCGGCAUCCAUGGUUCAAGUGGAGACCGUGUGAUGACCCAGACUCCAGAGUCCCUGGCCGUGUUCCCUGGAGACACCGCCACCAUCAAGUGCAAAUGCAGCUCCAGCCUCACAUCCGCAGGAAAGGAGUUCCUAGCCUGGUACCAGCAGAAACUUGGACAAGCUCCUAAACUCAUCAUCACUUUUGCUUCCACACGACAACCGGGAGUCCCGGCUCGGUUCAGCGGCAGUGGGUCUGGAACGGAUUUCACUCUCACCAUCAGCCGGGUGGAAGCUGAAGAUGCUGGACGUUAUUUCUGUCAGCAGAAGUAUGGUACCCCACUCACAGUGAUACAAACCAGCGCAAAAACCUCCCGGCACUCUUCAGACCAGCACGGCAGGUGCUUCCUUAGCAGUCACCUUCGGAGUACAUGUGCUACACAGAGGGGCACGUUUUCUCCCUUGUUGAAAUGACUGUAAAAAGACAGCUGAAGUCCACUGUGGCAUAAAAACAAUAACCAGGAGUCAGGACAUGUACUCAUUUACUUUCAACUCAGAUAAGUAGCACUGCAGCAUAAAGUGAGGCAGCUCUGAGGAACAGUUAGCUUAAAACUGGUUUGUGGUCCUUUCUGAGCUCAUUUUGGGAUCAGACAUGUACUUUGCAUAUAUUAAAGCAAAUAGCACCCUUUGAUGCUGUAACAAGUUACUAUUAACACCGUGUGCCACUCAGUAGUGGUUGUUCAGAUGCAUCACAAUGAUCCCAAAGGCUCAGCUCCUCUGACUGGUAGUAGUACUCUGUACCAAGGGGAAGAGGCUCAUGAAGCUAGUACCGGUGUGAUGAAAAACUAUAUUUGAGGGGUUUAGGGAUUAUAAUGAUAUUAUUUUUAUUUUUUUAAUUAUGUUUUGAGUUAAAUAUAUUUAGAUAUUCAUCUAUAAAACUUCACACAUUCCUCAGAGUGUUCUGCAUUUCCUUGUGUUAUUUCAAGAGCAGUUAGGUCCUCACAGUAUGUCCAGCACAGUGAAUACGAGACUUUCACUGGGCUUCAAAGGUUUUGCAUUAGGCUCUAAAGUGACUAACUGAAAAAGGGGAGAGAAUGAAGGGGACAAAUUCAAGGAUAGGAACUACAUAAAGAGCCAUUUGGUAAUGUUCAUAAAAGAUAGCUCCUCUGGCAUUUAUUUCGCUCUCAUACACACAUCCCUGUGCACUUUUCACUUAUUUAACUUUUCAGACUCAAAUGCAAAAACCGCCUGGAUUCGGACU